GUCACACCUAGCUCUCCAAGGAUAGAAAUGUUAUCCCACCCCUAAUUCCCCCUGUAGGGUUCCCUUCCUUUUGUCCUCCUCUGCCUUUCCUUCCUUUAUCCGUCCAUCUCAUGGCCCCGCAGCAUCUUCCUGCUCUCACAGGGGGCCCACUCAGGAGUCAUACAGGGAAGAACACAAUGCCCCUGCCCCUGCCCGCUUCUUCCUCACUGGACUCUCGUUAUCUAUUUAGCAUCUAACUCUUCCACCAGCCUGGACCCAGGAGAAACUGAACCCAGGUGAGUCUGGACACAGGCGGCACAGGGCACAUGGGAAGCACUCCAAAUAUAGUAGCUCCCCUGUCCCUUAUCUAACAGAGGAUACACGCCGAGACCCCCAGGGGAUGUCUGAAACUGCCGAUAGUACCAAACCUAGACACAAGCAUUGUGAAACCUCCACGGUUGAUCUAAUAACCAAGAUGGCUAGUAAGUGACGAGCAGGCAGCUUACACAGGGUGGCUAUGCUGAGCCAAAGCAUGAUUCACAAUCUGGGUGGGACAGAGAAUAGUGCAAGAUUUCACCAUGCUCUCAGCACAAAAUUUAAAAACGUAUAAAUUGUCUCUUUCUGAAACUUUCUACUUAAUAUUUGUGAACCUACACAGGUAACUGAGACCAUGGAACACAAAACCACGGAGAAGGGAGACUGCUACAGUUGUUUAAUGUUAAGUGAAUGAAUAGCUGGGCUCUGGGGGAACAUUUUUGGUGAGAAGAUGCCGGCUGCUUUGAAGGGAGUCUGUUCCCCUGAAGGGAACAGGCCGGAGGUGGUGGGCCCAAGCCCAGGCAGGCACAGCUGGUCCCCAGGCCUCCUAAUGCUGGAGGUGUCAUCCCCUAAGAGGCCACUGCUACUCAGAAGCUUCCCAUAAUUCUCCUCACCAGGAGUGGGGGAUCCCCAAGCCUGGAAAUUCCCAGUAGGUUCAUCCCACUCCACCCUACAGCACCACGGGCCUGGUCAUUCUCAACACAAUUUCUUGGAAGGAAAAAUUGGCUCAAAAUCAGAAGUUCUGGAAUUCACUACAGGAAGUGGCUAUAUGAAUAAGAGGAAAGGUUUCUGAUUAAAGAGUCAAGAAUUCUGGGUUUCGAUUCCCACUUUAGAAAACAUGGGCAUGGAUUGGGUCCUGGGUUCAACUCCAGCUCUGCUGGUAAGUCAGAUACUUCACUGAGCCCUCAUUUCCUCUUUUGAAAAGGGAUUACAAUAUCUGCCUAGCAGGUUCUUGUGGGGAUUACAGAGGAAGCAGCUGGGGCAAUAGUCAGCGGGCAUGCAAAGAUUUUCACUUACUUCUUGGUGAGUAGCUGCUAUCCCCUGAGGGCCCCUAGCCCAGCAGGAUUCACAAAAGGUUAACAUCUAGUCCAGUAGGGGACUCCACCAUCCUGGGGCCCAAAUUGAACUAAAUGGGUAAGAACAAAAUGCUCUGUAAACUGCAAAGUGCCCUGACCUCCACAUUCGCACCUCCAGCUCAGAUCUACCUCCUGAAUAUGGAUAUUCGCCCUGUUUCCAGGACCUUCCACAUGGAUGUCUUGCUCACCACUAUCAAAUUGAGCUGUUUGUCAAAGGAAUUGGCUCCGCCUCUGCCCAGUUGCUCCAGGAAGGAGCCUUCAGUCUCCCAAGACUCUUUCAUACCCAGUCUCUCCCCUGUUCAGCAGUUCUGUUUUUCCUCUAAGUUCACAGACCCAUCCCUCCUUCCUGGCCCUACCUGCCUCAUUCCCUCAUCAUUUCUCUGCUAAGUUGUAACAACCACCUCCACGCUGACCCUUGGGCACCAAUGUAUCCUUCCAUUUUAUUCUCAUACUGUGGGCAGAACCACUUUCCAAAAGCAAGGGCUUUCUCAUUGAACCCCCAAUGAAACAUCACCAUCACCCAUCAUUGACAUCCAUCAAUGAUGGUUGAUGCAGGGAAGUAGACCUUCUGGAAUGUUCAUUGCAUGAUGUGAAGAACAACUCCCCAUUGCCUCCAAGAUAAAUCGUGAAUGUCUGGUGAGUACAGAGGGUCUUUGUGAUCUGCCCCAAAUGUCCUCUUCGUUCCACUUUCAUUUCUCCCUUCCCUCCACUUGCUCCCAAUGUUCUAACCAUAUUGUGCUUCUUGCAGUUUCCCAGGCUCAACAUGCUAUUUCACACCUCUUUGCUUUUGCACAUGUUAUUUCAUCUGCCUGGAAUGCCUCGAAAUGGAAAAGAGAAAUCCUAUUCUCCCAGCCAAUUCCUACUCCUGCUAAGCUCUGCCUCCCCUGGGAAACCUUCUAUUCAUUCCUCCAAAGCUGAUGCUUCCUGAGCCCUGGGCAUAGCUGCUGGGUGCUGAUCUGCCCUUAUGGACAGACCCCCAGCUUCAUCUUGGCUCAGAUGCACAGGGCCUGGCUACUCGGUGACUUGGAUUCAUUUUGUGCUGGAGUGGGAUGUCUUGGGCAGCAGCUGCCAAGGAGAAGAAACUUCAAGUGAGAUUUGGAAGCACAAGAGUACCCAGCCUGUCUGGGGGAGGCUGCACGGUGCCUCGUAUUGCUCAUCCUGACGGUGGUUGUCAUCCUUCUCCCCCUCGUCACUACCAUCAUCAUCAUCACCCAGUCAUCAGGGUCUUGCUUUCAGGAUGCUGACCACAUGCAAGGCUCAAGGCCAUGAGUUUGACGGCAGGCCUCCCUAUAAUCUUUAUUUUAUCUUCAAUAUUAGUAACUCCCCCAAGUUGGUACUGUAAGUAUCACUAUUUUAUAGAUAUGGAAAUUGAGGUUCAGGAAGGCUAAGAGCUCUGCCCAAGGUCACUCAUCUGGUUAGUGAUGGGGCUAGCUAAUCCAGGGAUGCUCUCAUUCACCAUAUUAGUGGGCAGCUGGCCACACUGAUCUCAUCCCUUCUGAGUCCCUCCCACCCCAUCACUGUCUGCGGAACUCCUUUCCUAAGUGAACAGACUUUCCACUGAGAUGUUGGGUGGGCCCGGCUGGAGCAACCAUGAGACCUGGGAGGGCACUUGGGAGGGGGGAAAGAGGACAUUCAGAUCCCUGUGUACCCUUCUAGAUCUCAACAACAUGGUGUUUGAUUU
rnacentral:lncRNA from 1 species